rfam:Brevibacillus laterosporus LMG 15441, complete genome.
AAAAAAAUACCUCACUUCUUCUUAAAAAGAGUGAGGCAGUCAUUCAAGCUGUUUCCACGAGGGAAACCUGUCACCUUCAUGCUCCUAUCUACAUGAGGUGUCAACUGAACUGACUUCAAUUAUGGGAGAGGAGAAACCGGAGGAAGAGCUUAUGGGGAAACGUAAGUCUUCUCCGCGG